AUUGACCUUAAAUAACUUUCUGACAUAACCUCCCCAUUUCAUGGAUGAAAAACCCUAAAGCUCUCAUAAGUAAAGUGAUUUACUUCAGGACACAAACUAGUUGAUUUAGUUUGGAUGUUUGUCCCCUCCAAAUCUCAUGUUGAAAUGGAAUCCCCAGUGUUGGAGGUGGGGCCUGGUGGGAGGUGUUUGUGUCAUGGGGCAGAUCCAUUAUCCUUAUGAGCUGCUUGGUGCUAUCCUUGUGAUAGUGAGUGAGUUCUCAUGAAAUCUGGUUGUUUAAAAAUUUGUGGCACCUCCCCACCAGCCUUGCUCCUGCUCUUGCGGUGUGAUAUGCCUGCUGCCUCUUCACCUUACACCGUGAUUAUAAGCUUCCUGAGGCCUCACCAGAAGCAGUUGGUAACUUUGGAUUGGGUACACCUUAUUUCUGAAAAAUUAGAAGGAAGAGAGUUUUUGUAAAGACAUCCUUUUCUCUCUUGCAGCUUCUAUCAGGAUUUUAAGAGGGCAGGCAGAACUUUAAAGCAAAGGAAAUUGCUUGUUUUUGUGAAAUUAACCAGUCUGUUAUCAAGGCGGAGGACAAGAUACGAAUGCUAAUCAUUGUGAAGAAACUCAUUACGGAAUUUUCUCCAAUACAUAGGCAAAAGAGAGUGGCUGUUAUCAUUUUGCACUAUAACCAGACAUAUAAUGCUGUUG
rnacentral:lncRNA from 10 species